GUAUGGAAUAUUUACAUUGGUAAUGGGUCGGGAUAGCUCAGC
rnacentral:tRNA from 1 species